AGGCCUGCGCUCCCUGGAUAGGGUUGGAAAGCGGUGCGAACCGGGAAAAAUAAGGAAACGAUCGGCCAAGGGAUUUGGAGGGAGCACCCAGAGCGGAAAGGGGACCUGAGGCAGGAGGAUGCCCGAAGCUGCAGGAUGAGCUAAAGGCGGGAUGGUGGCAGGCGCGGAGACGUUGACUGCUGCACCAAGAGGUACAGGGCCUCAGUAUACAGAACUGCUGGAGCCAAGUGUGGUUCAACUCACCUGGAAUCUGAGCACUCAGGAGUCUGAGGCAAGAUUGCCAAGAGUUCAAGGCCACCCUC
rnacentral:lncRNA from 1 species